UCCUACGUACCCUUAGGUCGAGGAUAGCCCCGGGAAACUGGGAGUAAUACUCGAUAAUGUCUCCGGACCAAAGCCUUCGGGCGCCUUUGGAGCGAGGAACGUCCUAUCAGGUUGUUGGUGAGGUAACGGCUCACCAAGCCAAAGACGGGUAGCGGGUGUGAGAGCAUGACCCGCAGUAUCGGGACUGAGACACUGCCCGGACUCCUACGGGAGGCUGCAGUAACGAAUAUUCCGCAAUGCGCGAAAGCGUGACGGAGCAAUGCCGCGUGUGGGAUGAAGCUUUUCGGAGUGUAAACCACUGUCAGAGUUUAGGAACACAAUGACCAGACUCAAAGGAAGGGCCGGCUAACUUCGUGCCAGCAGCCGCGGUAAUACGAAGGGCCCGAGCGUUAAUCGGAAUCACUGGGCUUAAAGCGUGUGUAGGCGGACAUGAAGGCGAUUUGUGAAAUCCCUCGUCUCAAACGAGGAACUGCAGGUCGAACCGUAUGUCUUGAGACAGGUAGAGGUGGUCGGAACCGUAGGUGGAGUGGUGAUAUGCGUUGAUAUCU
rnacentral:rRNA from 1 species